ACUCAAAUGAAUUGACGGGGGCCCGCACAAGCGGUGGAGCAUGUUGUUUAAUACGUCACUAACCGUAGAACCUUACCAGGGUUUGACAUCCGCUGCUAUGCCAUGAAAGUGGCCUUCUCCGCAAGGGGACAGCGAGACAGGUGUUGCAUGGCUGUCGUCAGCUCGUGUCGUGAGAUGUUGGGUUAAGUCCCGCAACGAGCGCAACCCUCAUCCCAUGUUGCCAGCGGGUAAUGCCGGGAACUCUUGGGAAACUGCCCGUGUAAGCGGGAGGAAGGUGAGGAUGACGUCAAGUCAGCAUGGCCCUUACAUCCUGGGCUACAAACAUGCUACAAUGGACGGUAGACAAACGGAGCCGAGAGGGCGACCUGGAGGCAACCCGAAAAAUCCGUUCUCAGUUCGGAUCGCAGGCUGCAACUCGCCUGCGUGAAGCCGGAAUCGCUAGUAACCGCAGGUCAGCUAAACUGCGGUGAAUACGUUCCCGGGCCUUGUACACACCGCCCGU
rnacentral:rRNA from 1 species